AACGCUGGCGGCGUGCCUAAUACAUGCAAGUUGUAACGCACAAAGACACCAGAGCUUGCUCUACCGUUUUUGUUGAGUAGCGAACGGGUGAGUAACGCGUGGGUAACCUGCCUUAUAGCGGGGGAUAACUAUUGGAAACGAUAGCUAAUACCGCAUAACAAUAGAGAUUGCAUAAUCUUUAUUUGAAAGUGCCAACUGGUACACUAUGAGAUGGACCCGCGUUGUAUUAGCUAGUUGGUAGUGUAAUGGACUACCAAGGCGAUGAUACAUAGCCGACCUGAGAGGGUGAUCGGCCACAUUGGGACUGAGACACGGCCCAAACUCCUACGGGAGGCAGCAGUAGGGAAUCUUCGGCAAUGGACGAAAGUCUGACCGAGCAACGCCGCGUGAGUGAAGAAGGUUUUCGGAUCGUAAAACUCUGUUGUUAGAGAAGAAUGUUGAUUAGAGUGGAAAAUUAAUCAAGUGACGGUAUCUAACCAGAAAGGGACGGCUAACUACGUG
rnacentral:rRNA from 1 species